rfam:Nomascus leucogenys chromosome 15, whole genome shotgun sequence.
GCAGGGUGAGGUGGCAUGUGCCUGUAAGUCCCAUCUACUCAGGAGGCUGAGGCAGGGGGAUCACUUGAGUCCAGAAGUUCUGGGCUGUAGUGCACUAUGCCAAUCGGGUGUCUGCACUAAGUUCGGCAUCAACAUCGUGACCUCCAGAGAGUGGGGGACCGGCUCAGGCUGGAAAUGAAACAGGUCAAAACUCCCAUGCUGAUCUGUAGUGGAAUCAUGCCUGUGAAAAGUCACUGCACACCAGCCUGGGCAAUAUAGCGAGACCCUGUCUCUU